UAGAGGCACAUUUAGGACAAUUUGUAGACAAGGUGAACUCUAAUGGUACAAGCCGAAAGAUGAUGAUAUUAAAAGGAAUAAAAGAUCAAGACUAGUGUAUAUCCUGCAUGAUUGAUGGGGUAUGAACACAAAAACCUAUACUUAUACUAUACUGUAAUAUUAUCUUUAAUACAGUCUGGUCUUUUCCCACCAGUAAAGCGCUAAUAAAUGGAUGUGGAAAUGUAUGAAGUCAUUUUGAUUCUGCACUAUUACUACACACAAAUAUCUAAUUUAGAUACUUGUUGCGUUUAAACCUCUACAGCAGCAUUAGACUUUUUACAGCAUGUAGAAGCCUUAGUCAAGUCUGUGUGUCAGGAUUAUUGGCAUCUGCAGUUCCCAUCAGUCACAAGAUCAGUCACAUGAUAUUGGAAGCUGAUUGUCUUUCACUGUUUAGGCAUAUACAGCUUUAUUUUAAAAUGUACUGUUUGUUGUUCCAUCAUGUAAGGAGGCAUAUGGACAAAUGCAAAUGAACAAACAAAAAUAUUUGCAUACACCCAAAUAAACAAAACAUAUAAUAAUUAAAAAUAAAUAUGAAAACUAAAACCUGGAACAAGACUUGACAAAGAACAUUGGCGACAACCAUGAAACCACCAAUGCGACUCAGAGUGCUGUAAAAGGUGAGGUUAAAUAAGUGUAGAUUGCUGAAUGCGAAUCACAUAAAACAAUCACAUGCCGUGGUGAGGUGCAGUGGCUGAUGGGAGAUCAAUUCUGUGGCUCUAGGCAUAAUAACAUCCUGUGACUGUGAGGUGCUUGAAUUCAUGAAGUUCAUGAAGUCAGCUGAUCAGUUAUUAUCAUCUUGUUUCAGGUGCAGUAUACAAAAUGUAUGCUGUUAAUAUAUUCAAAACUUUUACAAUCUUUAUUUUGUCAAGUAUUAGGAUGAGUACUAUGUAAAUUUCCGAAAUAAUAAGAGUGGAGUAACUACAGGAGGAUUUCAACCUGAUGGGGUAUUUAUUUUCUCUAUAAUCCUUUAUUAAUUUCAUUUCAACCACUAUGUUAAUAAAGUUAUUGCUAUACUGAUUUCAAGUACAUUCUAUUGAACUGUAUAUGCAUUUAUUACUGACAAUCCAGGAAGGAGAAUAUGAAACUGUCUUGCAUUAGCAGACAUCUGUGCAUGGUUAGGACUCAGCUCUUUGUGAAUAAUGAGGUCCAGUCAGCUAUUUCCCUUUUCUGAUAAUGCUGUGAUCUAUAUGGUCCAGGAAAUGUUGCUGACAAAGCAAAUCCAGUGGGACCCAUUUACAGAGCUGGGUCUAACAUCAUACUGACCUGCUCAGCUGAGUCCAGCCCUACUGCUGAGUUUCAGUGGGCUGUGAAUGGAGCAGCACUUGGUCAAAUAGGACAUGAGCUCAAAAUGAACAACAUUCAGAGCAGUCAGAGUGGCAAUUAUACCUGCAUCGCCCAUAACACAAAGACCCUGAGAUAUUCCACUUCUCAACCUAUCAGCAUCACUGUACUG